GACGAACGCUGGCGGCGUGCUUAACACAUGCAAGUCGAACGGAAAGGCCCUGCUUUUGUGGGGUGCUCGAGUGGCGAACGGGUGAGUAACACGUGAGUAACCUGCCCUUGACUUUGGGAUAACUUCAGGAAACUGGGGCUAAUACCGGAUAGGAGCUCCUGCUGCAUGGUGGGGGUUGGAAAGUUUCGGCGGUUGGGGAUGGACUCGCGGCUUAUCAGCAUGUUGGUGGGGUAGUGGCUUACCAAGGCUUUGACGGGUAGCCGGCCUGAGAGGGUGACCGGCCACAUUGGGACUGAGAUACGGCCCAGACUCCUACGGGAGGCAGCAGUGGGGAAUAUUGCACAAUGGGCGGAAGCCUGAUGCAGCAACGCCGCGUGCGGGAUGACGGCCUUCGGGUUGUAAACCGCUUUCGCCUGUGACGAAGCGUGAGGGACGGUAAUGGGUAAAGAAGCACCGGCUAACUACGU
rnacentral:rRNA from 1 species